GACGAACGCUGGCGGCGUGCUUAAUACAUGCAAGUCAACGACUUUUAGAGUAGCAAUAUUUUAAAAGGAGUGGCGCACGGGUGAGUAACACGUAGGUAAUCUGCCUUCAGGACUGACACAACUCGUCGAAAGACGGGCUAAUAUCAGAUAAUGCAGCGGCUCCGCAUGGAGACAGUUGUUAAAGUACAAGCGCCUGAAGAUGAGCCUGCGGUCCAUUAGCUAGUUGGUAGAGUAACAGCCUACCAAGGCAACGAUGGAUAGCUGGUCUGAGAGGAUGAUCAGCCACACUGGAACUGAGACACGGUCCAGACUCCUACGGGAGGCAGCAGUAAGGAAUAUUGCUCAAUGGCCGAAAGGCUGAAGCAGCAACGCCGCGUGAAGGAUGAAUGGCCUUUGGCCUGUAAACUUCUGUAAAAAGGGAAACAAUCAAGGCAUGUCCUGUA
rnacentral:rRNA from 1 species